rnacentral:rRNA from 1 species
GACGAACGCUGGCGGCGCGCUUAACACAUGCAAGUCGAACGGAAAGGCCUGCUUUCCCUUGUGGAUUGCGGGUACUCGAGUGGCGAACGGGUGAGUAACACGUGAGUGAUCUGCCCCCAACUUGGGUAUAAGCCUGGGAAACUGGGUCUAAUUCCCGAUAGGACUGCAGGGUGGUGCCUGUGGUGGAAAACGAUUUUCUAGUGGUUGGGGAUGAGCUCGCGGCCUAUCAGCUUGUUGGUGGGGUAAUGGCCUACCAAGGCGGCGACGGGCAGCCGGCCUGGGAGGGUGGACGGCCACAUUGGGACUGAGAUACGGCCCAGACUCCUACGGGAGGCAGCAGUGGGGAAUAUUGCACAAUGGGCGGAAGCCUGAUGCAGCGACGCCGCGUGGGGGAUGACGGCCUGCGGGUUGUAAACUCCUUUCGACCGCGAGGAAGCCACCUGGUUGGAAGGGUGGUGACGGUAGUGGUAGAAGAAGCACCGGCUAACUACGU